GAUGAAGAACGUAGCUAAAUGCGAUAAGUAAUGUGAAUUGCAGAAUUCAGUGAAUCAUCGAAUCUUUGAACGCACAUUGCGCCCGCUAGUAUUCUGGCGGGCAUGCCUGUCCGAGCGUCAUUUCAACCCUCAAGCCCCCGGGCUUGGUGUUGGGGAUCGGCGAGCCUCCGCGCCCGCCGUCCCCUAAAUCUAGUGGCGGUCUCGCUGUAGCUUCCUCUGCGUAGUAGCACAACCUCGCAGUUGGAACGCGGCGGUGGCCAUGCCGUUAAACACCCCACUUCUGAAAGUUGACCUCGGAUCAGGUAGGAAUACCCGCUGAACUUAAGCAUAUCAAUAAGCGGAGGA
rnacentral:misc_RNA from 1 species